UACGUAGGGUCCGAGUGUUGUCCGGAAUUACUGGGCGUAAAGAGCUCGUAGGUGGUUUGUCGCGUUGUUCGUGAAAACUCACAGCUCAACUGUGGGCGUGCGGGCGAUACGGGCAGACUAGAGUACUGCAGGGGAGACUGGAAUUCCUGGUGUAGCGGUGGAAUGCGCAGAUAUCAGGAGGAACACCGGUGGCGAAGGCGGGUCUCUGGAACGGUACUGACGCUGAGACGCGAAAGCGUGGGGAGCGAACAGG
rnacentral:rRNA from 1 species